rnacentral:rRNA from 1 species
UACGUAGGGUGCAAGCGUUAAUCGGAAUUACUGGGCGUAAAGCGUGCGCAGGCGGUGAUGUAAGACAGUUGUGAAAUCCCCGGGCUCAACCUGGGAACUGCAUCUGUGACUGCAUCGCUGGAGUGCGGCAGAGGGGGAUGGAAUUCCGCGUGUAGCAGUGAAAUGCGUAGAUAUGCGGAGGAACACCGGUGGCGAAGGCAGGUCUCUGGGCUGACACUGACGCUCAUGCACGAAAGCGUGGGGAGCAAACAGG